CACGCCGUAAACGAUGAGUGCUAGCUGUAGGGAGCUAUAAGUUCUCUGUAGCGCAGCUAACGCAUUAAGCACUCCGCCUGGGGAGUACGACCGCAAGGUUGAAACUCAAAGGAAUUGACGGGGGCCCGCACAAGCGGUGGAGCAUGUGGUUUAAUUCGAAGCAACGCGAAGAACCUUACCAGGUCUUGACAUACUCGUGCUAUCCUUAGAGAUAAGGAGUUCCUUCGGGACACGGGAUACAGGUGGUGCAUGGUUGUCGUCAGCUCGUGUCGUGAGAUGUUGGGUUAAGUCCCGCAACGAGCGCAACCCUUAUUACUAGUUGCCAUCAUUAAGUUGGGCACUCUAGUGAGACUGCCGGUGAUAAACCGGAGGAAGGUGGGGAUGACGUCAAAUCAUCAUGCCCCUUAUGACCUGGGCUACACACGUGCUACAAUGGAUGGUACAACGAGUCGCCAACCCGCGAGGGUGCGCUAAUCUCUUAAAACCAUUCUCAGUUCGGAUUGCAGGCUGCAACUCGCCUGCAUGAAGUCGGAAUCGCUAGUAAUCGCGGAUCAGCACGCCGCGGUGAAUACGUUCCCGGGCCUUGUACACACCGCCCGUCACACCACGGAAGUUGGGAGUACCCAAAGUAGGUUGCCUAACCGCAAGGAGGGCGCUUCCUAAGGUAAGACCGAUGACUGGGGUGAAGUCG
rnacentral:rRNA from 1 species